GACGAACCGUGCGAACGUUGUUCGGAAUCACUGGGCGUAAAGAGCUCGUAGGUGGUUUGUCGCGUUGUUCGUGAAAACUCACAACUCAAUUGUGGGCGUGCGGGCGAUACGGGCAGACUGGAGUACUGCAGGGGAGACUGGAAUUCCUGGUGUAGCGGUGGAAUGCGCAGAUAUCAGGAGGAACACCGGUGGCGAAGGCGGGUCACUGGCCCGAUACUGACGCUGAGGCACGAAAGCGUGGGGAGCAAACAGG
rnacentral:rRNA from 1 species